UGAACGCUGCGGCGUGCCUAAUACAUGCAAGUCGAGCGAGAAAUACUUCAGACGAUCUCGGAUGAGUCAGGAAGAUGGAAAGCGGCGGACGGGUGAGUAACGCGUAGGCAACCUGCCCUCAGCAGAGGGAUAGCCAUUGGAAACGAUGAUUAAAACCUCAUAAUGCUGCAGUAACACAUGUUACAGCAGCCAAAGAUUUAUCGGCUGGGGAUGGGCCUGCGUCUGAUUAACUGGUUGGUGAGGUAACGGCUCACCAAGGUAACGAUCAGUAGCCGACCUGAGAGGGUGAUCGGCCACAUUGGAACUGAGACACGGUCCAAACUUCUACGGAAGGCAGCAGUAAGGAAUCUUGCACAAUGGGGGAAACCCUGAAUGCAGCAACGCCGCGUGAACGAUGAAGGCCUUAGGGUUGUAAAGUUCUGAUCUGGGGGAAGAAGAAAGUGACGGUACCCCAGGAGAAAGCCCCGGCUAAAUACGUGCCAGCCGCUGC
rnacentral:rRNA from 1 species